AUUGAACGCUGGCGGCAGGCCUAACACAUGCAAGUCGAACGGUAACAGGAAGCAGCUUGCUGCUUUUCUGACGAGUGGCGGACGGGUGAGUAAUGUCUGGGAAACUGCUCGAUGGAGGGGGAUAACUACUGGAAACGGUUGAUAACACCGCAUAACGUCGCAAGCCCAAAGAGGGGGAGCUAAGGGCGUCUGGCCGUCGUGUGUGCCCCGAUGGGAUGCGUUAGUAGGUGGGGUAACCGCUCACCUAGGCGACGAUCUCUAGCUGAUCGGAGAGAAGGAGCGGCGACCUUGGAACGGAGACACGGUCAAGACGCCUACGGGAGGCAGCAGUGGGGAAUGGUGCGCAGUGGGCGCAAGCCUGAUGCAGCGAGGCCGCGUGUAUGGAGGAGGCCUUCGGGUUGUAAAGUACUUUCAGCGGGGAGGAAGGGAGUAAAGUUAAUACCUUUGCUCAUUGACGUUACCCGCAGAAGAAGCACCGGCUAACUCCGUG
rnacentral:rRNA from 1 species